ACGCUGGUGGCAGGCUUAACACAUGCAAGUCGAACGGUAACAGGAGAAAGCUUGCUUUCUUGCUGACGAGUGGCGGACGGGUGAGUAAUGCUUGGGAAUCUGGCUUAUGGAGGGGGAUAACGACGGGAAACUGUCGCUAAUACCGCGUAGAGUCGAGAGACGAAAGUGCGGGACCGCAAGGCCGCAUGCCAUAGGAUGAGCCCAAGUGGGAUUAGGUAGUUGGUGGGGUAAUAGCCUACCAAGCCGACGAUCUCUAGCUGGUCUGAGAGGAUGACCAGCCACACCGGGACUGAGACACGGCCCGGACUCCUACGGGAGGCAGCAGUGGGGAAUAUUGCGCAAUGGGGGCAACCCUGACGCAGCCAUGCCGCGUGAAUGAAGAAGGCCUUCGGGUUGUAAAGUUCUUUCGGUAUUGAGGAAGGUUGUUGUGUUAAUAGCACGACAAAUUGACGUUAAAUACAGAAGAAGCACCGGCUAACUCCGUGCCAGCAGCCGCGGUAAUACGGAGGGUGCGAGCGUUAAUCGGAAUAACUGGGCGUAAAGGGCACGCAGGCGGACUUUUAAGUGAGGUGUGAAAUCCCCGGGCUUAACCUGGGAACUGCAUUUCAGACUGGGAGUCUAGAGUACUUUAGGGAGGGGUAGAAUUCCACGUGUAGCGGUGAAAUGCGUAGAGAUGUGGAGGAAUACCGAAGGCGAAGGCAGCCCCUUGGGAAUGUACUGACGCUCAUGUGCGAAAGCGUGGGGAGCAAACAGGAUUAGAUACCCUGGUAGUCCACGCUGUAAACGCUGUCGAUUUGGGGAUUGGGCUUUAAGCUUGGUGCCCGAAGCUAACGUGAUAAAUCGACCGCCUGGGGAGUACGGCCGCAAGGUUAAAACUCAAAUGAAUUGACGGGGGCCCGCACAAGCGGUGGAGCAUGUGG
rnacentral:rRNA from 1 species